AGUGAACGCUGGCGGUAGGCCUAACACAUGCAAGUCGAACGGCAGCACAGUAAGAGCUUGCUCUUACGGGUGGCGAGUGGCGGACGGGUGAGGAAUACAUCGGAAUCUACUUUUUCGUGGGGAUAACGUAGGGAAACUUACGCUAAUACCGCAUACGACCUACGGGUGAAAGCAGGGGAUCUUCGGACCUUGCGCGAUUGAAUGAGCCGAUGUCGGAUUAGCUAGUUGGCGGGGUAAAGGCCCACCAAGGCGACGAUCCGUAGCUGGUCUGAGAGGAUGAUCAGCCACACUGGAACUGAGACACGGUCCAGACUCCUACGGGAGGCAGCAGUGGGGAAUAUUGGACAAUGGGCGCAAGCCUGAUCCAGCCAUACCGCGUGGGUGAAGAAGGCCUGCGGGUUGUAAAGCCCUUUUGUUGGGAAAGAAAAGCAGCAGGUUAAGACCCCGCUGUUCUGACGGUACCCAAAGAAUAAGCACCGGCGAACUUCGU
rnacentral:rRNA from 1 species